rnacentral:rRNA from 1 species
GUCCACGCCGUAAACGAUGAGCACUAGGUGUCGGGUCGCAAGACUUCGGUGCCGCAGUUAACGCAUUAAGUGCUCCGCCUGGGGAGUACGCACGCAAGUGUAAACUCAAAGGAAUUGACGGGGACCCGCACAAGCAGCGGAGCAUGUGGUUUAAUUCGAAGCAACGCGAAGAACCUUACCAGGACUUGACAUCCUACUGACAGGACCUUAACCGGUUCCUUCUUCGGACAGUAGAGACAGGUGGUGCAUGGUUGUCGU